rnacentral:lncRNA from 1 species
AGCAGCGUAGCUGAACAUCUUACGGAUGGCCCAGGGCUCCAAAGGCUCGUUUCCUAAGUGAGAGAGAGCCUGGCUGAAGCUGUAUUACCAUUCAUUCUCCAGCCUCCGAAGUCUCAAAGCAUCACUUCCACCAUACUCUAACUGUCAAGACAAACACAAAGGCCCAGAAACUGCCAGACUGUCUUCUGAAGUGGCUAUAAUAUUUACACUCCCAUCAGCAGUGUAGAAGGGGUCUCACUAUGUUGUCUGGAGUGCUGUGGUGGAGUGGAGUGGCUAUUCACAGAGCCUGUUCUGCUGGGACACAGAAUCACUUGCUCCAUCUCAUACAUUGAUGAUGAUUAAUUUGUAUGUGUACCUUCCAAAAAAGAUGGUUGUGUUUGAAUGGAGGCCUUCUGGACAGGAAAAUAUGGAGAGUGCGUGCUUUGGAUUCAAGACUGGGAAUGAGGGGACCAGAAACCUAUUCUGUGGCUGUUUCUUGUUAGGACUUUCCUAAGCCUCUGGAAAAGGUUCAAUCCUGCUGAUGCUCUCCAUGGAGAUGGUCAGCAAGUGCAAAGUACAAUUAACAUUUGAGUCUGUCUGAGUCAUGAAGAAAUGGAGAUUACUG